rnacentral:rRNA from 1 species
CGGAAGGCAGCAGUGAGGAAUAUUGGUCAAUGGACGAGAGUCUGAACCAGCCAAGUAGCGUGCAGGAUGACGGCCCUAUGGGUUGUAAACUGCUGUUGUACGGGAAUAAAGUGACCUACGUGUAGGUUUUUACAUGUACCGUAAGAAUAAGGACCGGCUAAUUCCGUGCCAGCAGCCGCGGUAAUACGGAAGGUCCGGGCGUUAUCCGGAUUUAUUGGGUUUAAAGGGAGCGUAGGCCGUGCUUUAAGCGUGUUGUGAAAUGUAGGCGCCCAACGUCUGCACUGCAGCGCGAACUGGAGCACUUGAGUACGCAGGAAGUAGGCGGAAUUCGUCGUGUAGCGGUGAAAUGCUUAGAUAUGACGAAGAACUCCGAUUGGGAAGCCAGCUUACUGUAGCGCCACUGACGCUGAUGCUCGGAAGCGUGGGUAUCGAACAGGAUUAGAUACCCUGGUA